rnacentral:rRNA from 1 species
GAUGAACGCUAGCGACAGGCUUAACACAUGCAAGUCGAGGGGCAGCAUAAAAGUAGCAAUACUUUGGUGGCGACCGGCGCACGGGUGAGUAACGCGUAUGCAACCUACCUAUCAGAGGGGAAUAACCCGGCGAAAGUCGGACUAAUACCGCAUAAAACAGGGGCACCGCAUGGUGAUAUUUGUUAAAGAAAUUCGCUGAUAGAUGGGCAUGCGUUCCAUUAGGUAGUUGGUGAGGUAACGGCUCACCAAGCCGACGAUGGAUAGGGGAACUGAGAGGUUGGUCCCCCACACUGGUACUGAGACACGGACCAGACUCCUACGGGAGGCAGCAGUGAGGAAUAUUGGUCAAUGGGCGAGAGCCUGAACCAGCCAAGUCGCGUGAAGGAAGAAGGAUCUAUGGUUCGUAAACUCCUUUUGCAGGGGAAUAAAGUGCGGGACGUGUCCUGUUUUGUAUGUACCCUGAGAAUAAGGAUCGGCUAACUCCGUGCCAGCAGCCGCCGUAA